rnacentral:rRNA from 1 species
UGCAAGUCGAACGAGGGCCCGGAGCUUGCUCUGGAGACCCGAGUGGCGAACGGGUGAGUAACACGUGACCAACCUGUCCUAGGGUGAGGGACAACCCGGGGAAACCUGGGCUAAUACCGCAUGAUGUCAUCGGAUCGCAUGGUCUGGUGAUCAAAGAGGGCCUCUGCUUGCAUGCUCUCGCCCAAGGAGGGGGUCGCGACGUAUCAGCUAGUUGGCGGGGUAAUGGCCCACCAAGGCUACGACGCGUAGCGGAUCUGAGAGGAUGAUCCGUCACAUUGGGACUGAGAUACGGCCCAGACUCCUACGGGAGGCAGCAGUGGGGAAUAUUGCGCAAUGGACGAAAGUCUGACGCAGCGACGCCGCGUGUGGGAGGAAGCCUUUCGGGGUGUAAACCACUGUCAGAGGGGAAGAACUGCAUCAGGUCGAACAGGCCUGGUGUUUGACGGUACCCUCAAAGGAAGCGCCGGCUAACUCCGUGCCAGCAGCCGCGGUAAGACGGAGGGCGCAAGCGUUGUUCGGAAUUACUGGGCGUAAAGCGCGGGCAGGUGGUCCGUUAAGUCGUUUGUGAAAAUCCGGGGCUCAACCCCGUGAAAUGCAGACGAUACUGGCGGACUAGAGAUCGGUAGAGGCUAGCGGAAUUCCUGGUGUAGCGGUGGAAUGCGUAGAUAUC